rnacentral:rRNA from 1 species
GGCCUACCAUGGUGGUAACGGGUAACGGGGUGUUAGGGCACGACACCGGAGAGGGAGCCUGAGAAACGGCUACCACAUCCAAGGAUGGCAGCAGGCGCGCAAAUUACCCAAUCCCGAUACGGGGAGGUAGUGACAAUAAAUAACAAUACGGGGUUCUUUAGGAUCUCGUAAUUGGAAUGAGUACAAUUUAAAUCUCUUAACGAGGAACAAUUGGAGGGCAAGUCUGGUGCCAGCAGCCGCGGUAAUUCCAGCUCCAAUAGCGUAUAUUAAAGUUGUUGCAGUUAAAAGGCUCGUAGUUGAAUUUCGGGGUUAGUAGGUUGGUCAUGCCUCUGGUAUGUACUGGUCUCACUGAUUCCUCCUUCCUGAUGAACCUUAAUGCCAUUAAUUUGGUGUUUUGGGAAAUUUGGACUGUUACUUUGAAAAAAUUAGAGUGUUUAAAGCAGGCUAACGCCUGAAUACAUUAGCAUGGAAUAAUGAAAUAGGACGUUCGAUCCUAUUUUGUUGGUUUCUAGGAUUGACGUAAUGAUUAAUAGGGAUAGUUGGGGGCAUUAGUAUUCAAUUGUCAGAGGUGAAAUUCUUGGAUUUAUUGAAGACUAACUACUGCGAAAGCAUUUGCCAAGGAUGUUUUCAUUAAUCAAGAACGAAAGUUAGGGGAUCGAAGACGAUCAGAUACCGUCGUAGUCUUAACCAUAAACUAUGCCGACUAGGGAUCGGAUGAUGUUAAUUUUUUAAUGACUCAUUCGGCGCCUUACG